AGAAACUGCCUUUGAUCCAUUGUUUGGCAGCUGUUCCACAACUCUCAGAUCUGAUGUGCCCACAGGCUUCCUUCUGUCAGAAAACAGGACAUGCUAGGGAGAUGAAAUACCCUGAGUUCCAAGGGAAGUCCUGGCCAUUAACAGAGAAAAUGGCCCUCCGGAAAGACGCCAAGUUCCUUGUAAUGCGCAUAGCUUCUUUGAUGGGUUUGUCAGACACAAGAAGGACCCUGCAGAUUGGCAGCAAAAGCUGAAAGAGUGAAAGCAAGGUCAAAGGUCAGAGCUGGGAUUCCUUAGAAGGAACUGUUUUUCAUCUUCAGCAGGGCCUGGGGUUUGUGAAGACCCAGGAUGAAAGAACCAGGAAGGGGCAGCUUUCCUUUCAGCCUGAAUGAGGAGAAAUUCAGGUGACUCUUCCCAGGCCUGGCAGAUUUCCUCACCACCUGUGCCCUUCUGCCCUUAGGCACAAGAGCCCAGCUUUGGAUUUCCAAUACUCAUGUAAGAACUUGGAUAUGGUCCCGUGGUCCUGUAGUCUCUUUGUGCUGAAAAGAUGAAAAUGGAAGGUGUUCUGGGGCUCCUUGGCCAGCCAACCUAGCCUGGUGAAUUACUGAGUUUCAGGCCAGUAAGAGACCCUGACUCAAAAAACAAGGCCUACAACUAAAAUGUGAACAAGUUUCUGCCACAUGUUCCUGCUGCCACCAAGCCUUUCCACCAUGCCAUCCCCACCAUGAUGGACUUUCCAUCCAUUGCAUUGCCGGCUGUACCAUGACAACAGUGAGAAGACUGCUAAUAGAAUCUUAUCUUCACAUCUUCCAAAAACCUAGCAUGUGUGUGCAUAUAGUGCUGGACAGUUUUUGCUGAGUAAAUACCUAUAUCAUUUGAAAACAAGUCUGUGUUGGAGGAGUAAUUUUAUUCUUUGAGGUACUAUGUUCAGGAGAGGAAGAAGUUCUCUCACUAUGGAUAUUGUUUGAAUUUUUCUGGGGAUCUGGGAUCUAUCACCAUGGAAGAUUUUGGAAAGCUGACAAGUGUCCAGAACUGAGCAACUAGUAUGGAGGGGGCCUGAGGAUGGGUUGCAUAAGACAAUCUUGAGGCAAUGAAUGCUGUUCAGUCUGGAGAAAAUGGAGUGGGAGGUACAGAAUCAUCUACAAUAUUAGAG
rnacentral:lncRNA from 1 species